GCACAAUAGCUCAGUCAGUAGAGCACAGGACUCUUAAUCUCAAGGUCUGGGUUCGAGCUCCACAUUCAGCA
rnacentral:tRNA from 1 species